GGCAAGGUGGCCGAGCGGUCCAAGGCGCACGGUUCAGGUAUUGACUGAGCCCGAAAAGCUUCACUGUCUACUAGACUAGGUAGUGGAGUGUCCGUGUCUCGAAAGGGGCGUGGGUUCGAAUCCCACCCUUGUCA
rnacentral:tRNA from 1 species